UUCUCUCUCUCUCUCUCUCUCUCUCUCUCUCUCUACCGCACGCACAAGCACACGCACGCGUAUACAGAUACACACACACACACACACACACACACACACACACAUAACGCACACAACACGCAUAUGCAGAGCCUUCCAAAUAUACACACUUUUGCGCGCACAACCGUUUGUAUACAUGGAUAUGCGCUCGACAGUGGAGAUCAGGCCCUGAGGCCGAAGGGGACCGAGCGCGUUUUCGCAUUCCCACACAUGCACGCGCUCAGGUAGACAAGCAGCUAAACACACGCACGGAGGCGUGAACGGCAUCUUAGACGGCUCUUCAACAAAGAGAAUAAUAUUAAUGCAAGUACAUACAUUAAUCAGAGCGGAGUUAAAUCGACAUAUAGGCAGGAUGCGCAUACAGAGAUAUGCUCGCUUCGUCUAAUCGUGUGUCGCACUCUUCUCCCGAUUCACCAAACUUCUACGCGGAAAACUAGGAAACAACUAAAUGCACGUGUCGUUGUUUCUUUGAAUUUCUUUGUGUCUCUCGGCUCAAAGUAACGUUCGAAUGCACCGGUGGAACUAUUCGAGACAAGGUUUUUUACGGCUUUUCUUUCGUGCUUUUCACUCUGCCGCGGUCAAAAUGAAAACAAUAUCACGAAGUGGAUCAUUCGUUUUUAUGACAGCGAUAAGAUUCAUGCCAUUUUAAAAGUUAAAAAUAAAACGCUAAACACGCUAUUGUUUUCUUCAUCAUCGGCUUCUUAUAUUUCUUCUCCUUUUUCUUCCCAUUUUUUUUCUACUUUUUCCUCCACUACAUUUUUCUUCCUGCUCCGUCUCCUUUUCUCCGUGCUUUUCUUCACGUUUUUCUUCUUUUAUCUCCCUCAUUUUUUUUCUUGUCACUACUUUGCACCUUUAUUCGUCGUUUUCCUUUUUUCCCUUUUUUCGCCUUAUGCCUUCUCUUUUUCUUUUAUUUUCACAUUACAGUUUUUACGUAUACCAAGAUGUGCUCCUUAGCUGGAGCAACACAGCAUGUAUGAAUCUUAUCGUUGAACGCUUACGUAAGAUGAUGCAUUAUUUGGUGUAACACAUUGGAUUUCCAUAUUGGUACAUUAAACAAAUAUAAAAACAAAA